rnacentral:rRNA from 1 species
UGCAGUCGACGGCAGCACAGUAAGAGCUUGCUCUUAUGGGUGGCGAGUGGCGGACGGGUGAGGAAUACAUCGGAAUCUACUCUUUCGUGGGGGAUAACGUAGGGAAACUUACGCUAAUACCGCAUACGACCUACGGGUGAAAGCGGAGGACCUUCGGGCUUCGCGCGAUUGAAUGAGCCGAUGUCGGAUUAGCUAGUUGGCGGGGUAAAGGCCCACCAAGGCGACGAUCCGUAGCUGGUCUGAGAGGAUGAUCAGCCACACUGGAACUGAGACACGGUCCAGACUCCUACGGGAGGCAGCAGUGGGGAAUAUUGGACAAUGGGCGCAAGCCUGAUCCAGCCAUGCCGCGUGGGUGAAGAAGGCCUUCGGGUUGUAAAGCCCUUUUGUUGGGAAAGAAAAGCAGUCGGUUAAUACCCGAUUGUUCUGACGGUACCCAAAGAAUAAGCACCGGCUAACUUCGUGCCAGCAGCCGCGGUAAUACGAAGGGUGCAAGCGUUACUCGGAAUUACUGGGCGUAAAGCGUGCGUAGGUGGUGGUUUAAGUCUGUUGUGAAAGCCCUGGGCUCAACCUGGGAAUUGCAGUGGAUACUGGGUCACUAGAGUGUGGUAGAGGGUAGCGGAAUUCCCGGUGUAGCAGUGAAAUGCGUAGAG